GGGUUGUGAGGUUAAGCGACUAAGCGUACACGGUGGAUGCCCUGGCAGUCAGAGGCGAUGAAGGACGUGCUAAUCUGCGAAAAGCGUCGGUAAGGUGAUAUGAACCGUUAUAACCGGCGAUGUCCGAAUGGGGAAACCCAGUGCAAUUCGUUGCACUAUCGUUAACUGAAUACAUAGGUUAACGAGGCGAACCGGGGGAACUGAAACAUCU
rnacentral:rRNA from 2 species